rnacentral:rRNA from 1 species
CUACGGGUCGCUCCAGUGGGGAAUAUUGCACAAUGGAGGAAACUCUGAUGCAGCAACGCCGCGUGGAGGAUGACACUUUUCGGAUCGUAAACUCCUUUUAUAUAGGAAGAAGAUGACGGUACUAUAUGAAUAAGCGCCGGCUAACUCCGUGCCAGCAGCCGCGGUAAUACGGAGGGCGCAAGCGUUACUCGGAAUCACUGGGCGUAAGAGCGUGUAGGCGGAUUAAAAAGUCAGAAGUGAAAUCCUAUAGCUUAACUAUAGAACUGCUUCUGAAACUCUUAAUCUAGAAUAUGGGAGAGGUAGAUGGAAUUUCUGGUGUAGGGGUAAAAUCCGUAGAGAUCAGAAGGAAUACCGAUUGCGAAGGCGAUCUACUAGAACAUUAUUGACGCUGAGACGCGAAAGCGUGGGGAGCAAACAGGAUUAGAUACCCCCGUAGUC